rnacentral:lncRNA from 13 species
AUGGAUAUCAGUCUAACAAUUUCCCUAAUGCGGGGACAGAUGGGUACCGUGAUAGAGAGAGCGGUUAGUGCCGCUGUUGAGACGGUGUUGGGAGAGAUGCUUAGAGUGGUCGGCAUUAAAUUCGACGAGCUGAAGAUGGAGGUAGUAGCUAAAGAGAAAGAGGCGGAGAACAUAAGACAGAUGCUGGAGAUAUCCCGAUCUCAGAUUAAGACCAUGCGGAAACACAUGAACGCUCUGGAUGAGAACGCGCACUCUGCCACUUAUCAGACCUACCGGACAGCAUUCGGCCAUUCUGAUCCCCGCAGAAUUCACGGUUCCUCCGAGGCCGCACUGUCCUCGGGUUUACCACAGCCGCCGAGAAGGACGGUUCCAAACAACAACCAAAUUCCCACUACAAAUGGAAACGUACAGGCAAGGAAUCGAGUCACCAUCACCAUACCCUCUGAGAAUAUGGUCAGGGCCACCCAGCCCUCUGAUAAUUUGGUCAGGGCCACCCAGCCUUCUGAUAACUUGGUCAGGGCCACCCAGCCCUCUGACAAUUUAGUCAGGGCCACCCAGCCCUCUGACAAUUUAGUCAGGGCUACCCAGCCCUCUGAUAAUUUGGUCAGGGCCACCCAGCCCUCUGAUAAUUUGGUCAGGGCCACCCAGCCCUCUGAUCAUUUGGUCAGGGCCACCCAGCCCUCUGAUAAUAUGGUAACCGUUAGGGCAACAUCCUUUGACAGUCACGAUGAUCUGACAACUGUGAUCUCCCCGACUCUGGAGGACCGGACAUUGACACCCACUGUCUCUGCAAUGAACAGUUCAUCAGAGCAUCUGGAACCUUUGAAAGAGGAGCCCCCAGCCCUCCUAGACCCCAAGGUGUCUGAUGAGAGCCAGAGGAGGGAGGAGGAAGAAGAGUGUCAGGCUGAGUGGACCAUAAGUACACAGCCACCAGAGACAAGCACAGACCCGGGGGCCCAGCUGGUCCUCUCCCCUCCCAGGACUGACGGAGCAGACUGCUCUGCCAGGAGUGUACUGCCAUCCUCCCAGCCCCUGUCCCAGUUCCAAGUGAAAGAGGAGGAAGCUGAGGUGGAGAUCAUCUGUAUCAAACAGGAACCAGAGGAGGUGGAGACCCUGCUGAUAAACCUGGCUGCCGAAGGCUUCAACUCGCAGGGCAACCUUUUAGAUAGGCAGACUCAGGGCAACCUCCUCCUGGACAGUCAUAGGACCAUCCCAGGCUCUCAAAGCCAGAGGGAUAGGAGAGCACCCUGUCCACCACAGAGCCAGAGGACCUUAGCAGAGAAUACACCCUUCACCUCAGCCGACUCUUGUUCAUGUGAGUUAAAUCUCCCGAGACAUGGUGGCUCCAUAAUCUACAGCCAUGUCCCAAGGCAAAAUACUGCUUUGUUGUGGUCACUAUGCUUCUGUUCAAUAAAAUAUAAUUUAUCCAAUCUAAUGGAAUGUUUUUUUGUCCUCUUCAUCCUCAGAUGGGCUGUCCCAGGCAGUGAUGUCCAUGUCAGGAGUUGCUCCCAGGCCCAUGGUGCGUCCGUGGCCCAAGGACCUGAGUCUGUACGAGGAGUUUAAAAUGAGACGAACUGAGCUGAGGAGGAGGAGCCAGAACCGUCAGAGGGAGAUGGAGAAGAAUCUUCCCCAGCCUCUAUUAGCUGACCUGGUGAAGGAGAGACGGGAGAAGACCCGGCUCAGAGUGGCCCGCUGGAGAGCCAAGAGGAAGCUGCAGGCCUGUCUACUGACUCAGAUGACCCAACAGACACAACACCAACAGACUGGACCUGGACUGGGCCAGGGGAAUAGUCUGAACAGUGGGCUGGGGAAUCAUAGCCAGAUUAGCCACCACACGCAACACAAAACCACAGGCCCCACUCAGACUCCUCAGAGGAACAAUGCUGCCGUCUCUCAAUCGCAAUACAAUAACAGUUUUUUGUACAACAGAAGUCACUGUGAGACUGGGGCUGGUAACGUUAACUACCCUCCUCUCCAGUUCAACUCCUCCUCUCUAAUGCUGGGGCAACAUGGAGGACACAAUAUGGUG